rnacentral:rRNA from 1 species
UGGGGAAUAUUGGACAAUGGGCGCAAGCCUGAUCCAGCCAUGCCGCGUGAGUGAUGAAGGCCCUAGGGUUGUAAAGCUCUUUCACCGGUGAAGAUAAUGACGGUAACCGGAGAAGAAGCCCCGGCUAACUUCGUGCCAGCAGCCGCGGUAAUACGAUGGGGGCUAGCGUUGUUCGGAUUUACUGUGCGUAAAGCGCACGUAGGCGGACUUUUAAGUCAUGGGUGAAAUCCCGGGGCUCAACCCCGGAACUGCCUUUGAUACUGGAAGUCUUGAGUAUGGUAGAGGUGAGUGGAAUUCCGAGUGUAGAGGUGAAAUUCGUAGAUAUUCGGAGGAAAACCAGUGGCGAAGGCGGCUCACUGGACCAUUACUGACGCUGAGGUGCGAAAGCGUGGGGAGCAAACAGG